rnacentral:SRP_RNA from 1 species
GUAGUAGGUAGGUUCGGGGUGUUAGCCGUACCCCAAAUCUGAAACCGGCUAUAUGCAGAGAACAGUAACCACUGGGAAAAUCUCUAGAUGGUUAGUUCCCGCUUGACUUGCGGAAAUGAAAUCACGCCGAAUCGGGUGGAUGCAGGGCUAUGGUUAUCCGAAGGGAUAAUCCUUAAGACCGAACCGCUGAAAGGGAUGAGGUCCGGGAGGGAGCAAUCCUAAGGUGGAACAUUCACGCUUCCUCGUCAACGUGGCGGAUCUUGUAUGCCUUGAAACGGGGCUACCCGUCUAGACUGGAACCAGCAGAGCUACUAC